GAGUUCGUGAUGAUGCAGCCAAAAGAAAACCUCCAGAUAAUGAAGGUUCAAAUGGCACCCGAAUGGAUGAUGAACAAAUGCCUGUUAUAUGUGCUAUAUGCCUCGAUCAGGAGUACAAUUCUGUUUUUGUUCCGUGUGGUCAUAUGUGUGUGACAUGUUCUUCAAAGUUUACAAGUUGUCCACUAUGUCAAAGUCAACAUGGGCAGGUGGUGAAGACCUUCUAACCUUGAGAAAUUGCAAGUUUUUUAACUCUCAAAGUCAAAAUUCAUACUUAU